rnacentral:rRNA from 1 species
UUCGAUGGUAGGAUAGAGGCCUACCAUGGUAUCAACGGGUAACGGGGAAUUAGGGUUCGACUCCGGAGAGGGAGCCUGAGAAACGGCUACCACAUCCAAGGAAGGCAGCAGGCGCGCAAAUUACCCAAUCCCGACACGGGGAGGUAGUGACAAUAAAUACUGAUACAGGGCUCUUUUGGGUCUUGUAAUUGGAAUGAGUACAAUUUAAAUCCCUUAACGAGGAACAAUUGGAGGGCAAGUCUGGUGCCAGCAGCCGCGGUAAUUCCAGCUCCAAUAGCGUAUAUUAAAGUCGUUGCAGUUAAAAAGCUCGUAGUUGAACCUUGGGCCUGGCUGGCCGGUCCGCCUCACCGCGUGUACUGGUCCGGCCGGGCCUUUCCUUCUGGGGAACCUCAUGCCCUUCACUGGGCGUGUUGGGGAUCCAGGACUUUUACUUUGA